AGAGAUUAAGUUCUAAGAACACCUUCCUUACAAGAAGAAAGCAAUUCUUUA
rnacentral:tRNA from 1 species